rnacentral:rRNA from 1 species
AGAACGAACGCUGGCGGCAUGCCUAAUACAUGCAAGUCGAACGAACUCUUCGGAGUUAGUGGCGCACGGGUGCGUAACGCGUGGGAAUCUGCCCCUUGGUUCGGAAUAACAGUUGGAAACGACUGCUAAUACCGGAUGAUGACGAAAGUCCAAAGAUUUAUCGCCAAGGGAUGAGCCCGCGUAGGAUUAGCUAGUUGGUGAGGUAAAGGCUCACCAAGGCAACGAUCCUUAGCUGGUCUGAGAGGAUGAUCAGCCACACUGGGACUGAGACACCGGCCCAGACUCCGUACGGGAGGCAGCAGUAGGGAAUAUUAGGACAAGUGGGACGAAAAGCC